GAGACACACAACAGGUGGUUGUAAGCUUUCCUUUAGCGAGACACAACAGGUGGUUGUAAGCUUUCCUUUAGCGAGACACACAACAGGUGGUUGUAAGCUUGGCUUUCUGCAGUGCAGCCACAGUUACAUUUCUCUACAAGACCUUUGGAAAACAGGACAAAUAUUUUCUACCAUCUCCAUAAUACUAGAGUUGCCAAAUCAUUCCCUUGCCCUCAAAGCCCAUCACUGUUAAUGUUGUAGGCUCUGAGAAUAACAUUUCCAGAAAACACUAAAUAUUAUGACAGAUUAUGACAUAUGUGUAAACUAUAUACUAAUGCAGAUGUGGAUUCUUGUUCAGAUGUUCUCAGAGCGAACAAAAAAGCUAGCUGGUGGCUAAACAGCACAACGACUAGUUCCUUUAAUGUUAUGGCAAUGUAUCGGACUGGUUCAUUUCAACCUUUAGGUCUACAAGGACCUACAGUACAGUAUGUGGACACGGAACUGUCCCCAAGCCCACUUAGGUGCUACCUACCUGAGUCAUAGUUUGGGAGCCAUUGCCUUAUCCUUCCUGUUUCAUGAAUCAUCAUCAUCAUCCUCAUCAUCAUCAGUACCUUCAACUGCCAAAUGUUGUUAUUGUGCCAAAUAAAGGGGCUUCAGGAGGAGGUAUCAUGACUUAAAGGUCUGACUUUGAAGUUGCUUGUCAUUCUAUCACUGCAGUAUGUGUACAUUUUAUAUUGUAUGAAAAUAAUAUAAUUUUAUUGGAUUGUUCAUACAGUAUUUGUAAAGUGGAGGAACGAAACGUGCACAGAUUCUAUGAUGUUUACUGAUUGAUAUAUAUAUAUUUUUUGUGCAGAAGGCAUUUCCUGAAUAAAAGUGAUCAUUAUUGUGAA